rnacentral:rRNA from 1 species
AGUGAACGCUGGCGGUAGGCCUAACACAUGCAAGUCGAACGGCAGCACAGUAAGAGCUUGCUCUUACGGGUGGCGAGUGGCGGACGGGUGAGGAAUACAUCGGAAUCUACUUUUUCGUGGGGGAUAACGUAGGGAAACUUACGCUAAUACCGCAUACGACCUACGGGUGAAAGCAGGGGAUCUUCUGACCUUGCGCGGUUGAAUGAGCGGCUGUCGGGUUAGCUAGUUGGCGGGGUAAAGGCCAACCAAGGCGACGAUCCGUAGCUGGUCUGAGAGGAUGAUCAGCCACACUGGAACUGAGACAGCGUCCAGACUCCUACGGGAGGCAGCAGUGGGGAAUAGUGGACAAAGGGCGCAAGCCUGAUCCAGCCAUACCGCGUGGGUGAAGAAGGCCUUCGGGUUGUAAAGCCCUUUUGUUGGGAAAGAAAAGCAGCAGGUUAAUACCCCGCUGUUCUGACGGUACCCAAAGAAUAAGCACCGGCUAACUUCGUG